AAAAACGACAUUUAAUAAAGGUUUUAGAUAGCUGAGGGGUGUAAGUGAUAAUGCCUAAAGUUGAGGGGUUGAGUUACAUAAAAGACCAAAGAAAAACAAAUCACUGUAGCUGACUUGAUGAUCACUACAGUGAUAAACCAUUCCACAAAUGUUAUAUUAUAAAUUAUAAAUGAGUAUAAUCUCAUCAUAACUAAUUCAAAUAUAGAUGGAUGUAGUACCGGUUACACAUACGCAAUGUGCCCAGCCGGCUGCGGCUCUCACUAACGAAACUUCAUUCGGAAGAGGGAAAGGUUCUGGCGUUUCCUUAACAAAAGCAUGCAACGAAACUGCAAAUUAGCUUCUUUCAUAUGAAAUUUGACAAAUAGAGUAAAAGAUAUGAAGCUGUAUUUUUAUACCCCAUGUUUCCCGGAUGUCACGUAGCUUUGACCAAGAUCGUCAGUAGAGCCCCAUGUAAUCAGCUUCCCUGUAUCUGGGGAUAAAGAAAGACUGGUAAGGAAACAUGAUGGCUAAAAGUGUAUAUCAACUAUAAAACUUUAUCUACGUGCAACAUAUAGACAUUAAAACUCUUUUUGAAGCAUUAUCUCUCGUUCGAGAAACUGCUUCAUCUGUAAGUUCAGUGAAGCGUUAUAUCUGCUGCUGCUGAGCUGCGCAUUGAGCUGCUUCUACUCGACUUUAUCCGACAGGUGACAUCAGCUCGACAGUAAGUUUUUUUUUUCUUUUUUCUUUUUCUGGUGUUCUGUUUCACAAUUGACAACAUCAACUCUAGGCUAGUUGGCUCUUUUCUGAUUAUUUUUCUCUGUAUUGAUGUUUUGUGCUGCUGCCGCCUGCUACUCUCUUAUUUACAAUUAUAUCUUAUGCCCUAUGUUAAGCUGUCAACACUUUACUGUUUUUAGCCACUUAGCCAUAUAGUAAGUUAUUUUUGUGCUUAACUCCUAGUUGUUAAUGGCGAAUAGCGACAAGGUACCUAUAUGCUACAUAGCGAAUAGCGAUAAAGAGACGGGCUGGCUAUUUUAUAAAUAGCGAUACACUAGAAAAAAAAUUAUGUGUAUGUUAUAUCAAAAUACUCUGGUAUAUAUAUGCUAUUUUACAUGUAUCUUUAACAAAAACCAAAACUCCAGCUAUUUUAUAGCUAUAUUUAAUUGCUAUUUAUAUU
rnacentral:lncRNA from 1 species